UGGGUGCUCUCAGGGAAGAAGCCAAGGAAUGAAUGGGACAUGCAGCCAGACGUCUCCUUUCACCCUCAGCAGCUGGUGCCUGCAGUUCAGAGUGCUACUUAAUAGAGGCCAUGGUUUGCUCCUGAACUCGAGCCAGACGUUGGGCACAUGACACCAAGGCUGUUGACCCCGAAGGUGGCCAGAUGGGGGAAGCGCCAUACAGUGGUCACCAGCAACAUUUCAGGGGGAGGCAAAUUGGAAAAGAAAAGGCUGAUAAAGGUUGGUCU